rnacentral:rRNA from 1 species
GAUGAACGCUGGCGGCGUGCCUAAUACAUGCAAGUCGAGCGAACAGACGAGGAGCUUGCUCCUCUGACGUUAGCGGCGGACGGGUGAGUAACACGUGUAUAACCUACCUAUAAUUCUGGGAUAACUUCGGGAAACCGGAUCUAAUACCGUAUAAUCUAUUGCACCGCAUGGUUCAAUAGUGAAAUACGGUUUUUCUGUCACUUAUAGAUGGAUCUGCGCCGCAUUAUCUAGUUGGUAAGGUAACGGCUUACGAAGGCAAGGAUGCGUAGCCGACCUGAGAGGGUGGUAGGCCGCCCUGGAACUGGGACACGGUCCAGAGUACUACGGGAGGGCGCAGUAGGGAAUCUGACGCAACAGGCGAAAGUCUGACGGAGCAACGCCGAGUGAGUGAUGAGGGUCUUCGGUUCGUAAAAAUGUGUUACUAGGGAAGAACAAAUGUGUAAGUAAAUAUGCACGGAUUGACGGUACCUAAUCAGAAAGCCACGGCUAACUACGUG